CGCCUCCUGCCCACAACAGCAUAGGAGGUCCCGCCUGCCCUGUGAUUAAAAAUUUAACGGCCGCGGUAUUUUAACCGUGCAAAGGUAGCGCAAUCAAUUGUCUUUUAAAUGAAGACCUGUAUGAAUGGCAUAACGAGGGUUUAACUGUCUCUUUAAUCCAGUCAAUGAAACUGAUCUGCUCGUGCAGAAGCGAGCAUAACAACACAAGACGAGAAGACCCUAUGGAGCUUUAGACGCCCACCAACUAUGGAAAGCAACAAAACCAAAAACCCCCAAACAACAUAGAUCUGGCACAAACGUCUUCGGUUGGGGCGACCGCGGGGGAAAACUAAGCCCCCAAGAGGACAGGGGAAACCCUAGAACCAAGAGCCACACCUCCAAGUCACAGAAUAUUUGACCAACUAAUGAUCCGGCCCGUGCCGACCAACGAACCAAGUUACCCUAGGGAUAACAGCGCAAUCCCCUCCCAGAGCCCAUAUCGACGAGGGGGUUUACGACCUCGAUGUUGGAUCAGGACAUCCUAAUGGUGCAGCCGCUAUUAAGGGUUCGUUUGUUCAACGAU
rnacentral:rRNA from 1 species